rnacentral:rRNA from 1 species
UAAUCUGGCACCUUCGGUGUCCGAGUUGUAAUCUCUAGAAAUGUUUUCCGCGUUGGACCGCACACAAGUCUGUUGGAAUACAGCGGCAUAGUGGUGAGACCCCCGUAUAUGGUGCGGACGCCCAGCGCUUUGUGAUACAUUUUCGAAGAGUCGAGUUGUUUGGGAAUGCAGCUCAAAUUGGGUGGUAAAUUCCAUCUAAAGCUAAAUAUUGGCGAGAGACCGAUAGCGAACAAGUACCGUGAGGGAAAGAUGAAAAGCACUUUGGAAAGAGAGUUAACAGUACGUGAAAUUGUUGGAAGGGAAACGCUUGAAGUCAGACUUGCUUGCCGAGCAAUCGGUUUGCAGGCCAGCAUCAGUUUUCCGGGAUGGAUAAUGGUAAAGAGAAGGUAGCAGUUUCGGCUGUGUUAUAGCUCUCUACUGGAUACAUCCUGGGGGACUGAGGAACGCAGUGUGCCUUUGGCGGGGGUUUCGACCUCUUCACACUUAGGAUGCUGGUGGAAUGGC